rnacentral:rRNA from 1 species
GAUGAACGCUGGCGGCGUGCCUAAUACAUGCAAGUCGAGCGAACAGACGAGGUGCUUGCUCCUCUGACGUUAGCGGCGGACGGGUGAGUAACACGUGGAUAACCUACCUAUCAGACUGGGAUAACUUCGGGAAACCGGAGCUACUACCGGAUAAUAUAUUGAACCGCAUGGUUCAAUAGUGAAAGACGGUUUUGCUGUCACUGAUAGAUGGAUCCGCGCCGCAUUAGCUAGUUGGUAAGGUAACGGCUUACCAAGGCAACGAUGCGUAGCCGACCUGAGAGGGUGAUCGGCCACACUGGUACUGAGACACGGUCCAGACUCCUACGAGAGGCAGCAGUAGGGAAGCUUACGCAAUGGGGGAAAGCAUGACGAAGCAGCGCCGCGUGAGUGAUGAAGGUCUUCGGCGCGUAAAGCACUGUUAUUAGGGAAGAACAAGUGUUGACGUAACUGUGCACGUCUUGACGGUACCUAGUCAGAAAGCCACGGCUAACUACGUG